AAAUAAGAAGCAAUACUGCAUUUAGUUUCGACCUAAAAGAAUGAUUUAAUAAUCCUUAUUUU
rnacentral:tRNA from 1 species